CAUCACUCUCUCUCUCUCUCUCUCUCUCUCUCUCUGUAACUCACUUUCUCUCUCUCUCUCUCUCUCUCUCUCUUUCAAGGUCUUCCUUCGUAUCUGCAUAUACGAAUGCUUAUUGGCCAGUCCAGUAAUGCUCGGAGAAAAUCGCCAAAAUCGUCGCUCUCAAUCUUCCACCGAAGAGAAUUAGGGUUUUCUCCUAUUCACUGACUCGAUGGACGAGGCCGCUCUGCAACUCGUAUCGGAAAUUGGAACACAACUCGGCCAACAAAGUCGUCCGAUUAAGGGUUUCAUUGUCAAAUCGCUUCGACAAGCUGCAAGUGCUUUAUCGCAGUUGGAACAGCCUAAUUUUCCAGAUGCAACCAAAAAGUUGGAAGCUGCUAAAAAGCUAGAAGCUGGAAUAAAACCCUUGAAGAGAUCUAUCAUUCAUGGCUUGCUUCAACAUAAAGAUAAGGAUGUUCAGCUUCUAGUUGCAAUAUGUGUUAGUGAAAUGUUUCGUGUUCUGGCACCGGAACCACCUUUUGAAGACGAGUAUCUGAGGGACAUUUUUAAACUUAUCCUCAAUACUUUUGCGGAGCUAGCUGAUACCACGAGUCCGUUUUUUUCAAGAAGGGUUAAAAUUAUAGAGACUGUCUCAAGAUGUAAAUGCUGUGUAAUAAUGUUGGAUAUUGAUUGCAAUGAUCUAGUUAUGGAGAUGUUCAAUAUCUUUUUCUCUGUUGUGAGAGAGCAUCAUCAGAAGAGUUUGAUUAGUGAUAUUUUGUCUAUAAUGAGUCAUAUUCUGCACGAGGAAGCUUCUGAGCAACUUUUGGAUGUGAUUUUGCGAAAUCUUUUGAAGGAAGAUAAGGCGAGUGUUGGAGGAACACCAUCUGCUUCUUCUAAGCUAGCUAUUUCUUUGAUUCAGACUUGCUCAGAAAACCUUGGGCCCUUUAUUUGUGGGUUUUUAACAUCUUGCAUUUUGGAUAGAGAUGCUGUAGUGAGUGAGUUGAAAGAAUUUUACCACGAAAUCAUCUUUAGAAUUUUCCAGUGUGCUCCUGAGAUGCUUCUUGCUGUUAUUCCAAAUGUGACUCAAGAAUUACUGACUGAUCAGGUUGAUGUCCGAAUAAAAGCUGUUAAUCUGAUUGGAAAAUUUUUUUCAUUGCCUGAGCACCGUAUUGCUCAAAAGUACCAUGAUCUUUUCAUAGAGUUCUUGAAAAGAUUCUCUGAUAAAUCUGCAGAAGUUAGAGUUAGUGCUCUUCAAUGUGCUAAAAUUUGCUACAUGGCCAAUCCCUCUGGGCCAGAAUCAGAGGAUGUUCUCACUGCCCUUGAAGGUCGACUCCUAGAUUUUGAUGAUAGGGUGAGAAUGCAAGCAGUGAUUGUUGCCUGUGAUCUUGCCAGGUCUAACCUGAAAAUUUUCCCACCCAAAUUAAUAUUUCAGGCUAUGGAAAGGCUUCGUGAUAAGAAGAUACCUGUUAGAAAAAAGGCCCUGCAGAAAUUGAUGGAAUUAUAUUGUGAUUAUUGUAACAAAUGUUCUGAAGGCCUUAUGGGAAUAAGUGACAACUUAGAAAAAAUCCCAUGCAAAAUUUUGAUGCUUUGCUAUGAUAAAGACUGUAAAGAGUUCAGGUCCCAAAACAUGGAACUAGUUUUGGCAGAGGAUUUAUUUCCUCCUUCACUUUCAGUUUCGGAGAGGACAAGGCAUUGGAUCCAUUUGUUUUCUCUUUUCACUCCUCAUCAGCUGAAGUCACUGAACUCUAUAUUAUCACAGAAAAGAAGGUUGCAGAAUGAGAUGCAAACUUAUUUGGCUCUAAAAAAGAAAGAGAAGGAGAAUUGUCUGGAAGAGAUGCAGAAUAGAUACAGAACGUCAUUCAUGAAAAUGGCAGCUUGCUUUACAGAUCCUUCCAAAGCAGAAGAGUGCUUUCUGAAACUGAACCAUAUGAAAGAUAAUAACAUUUUUAAUACACUGGCCCAUUUAUUAGAUGAACUACACUAUACAAAUUCACAGACCAUCAGAGCUAAGUUUCUGAAUAUGAUAGGGAAUAAACAUCAAAAUUUAGAGUUUCUGCGAACGCUUUCGUUGAAGUGCUCUCAUAAUAUAUUCAGCUCAGAGCAUGUCAGCUGUAUAUUAGAUCAUCUUUCAAGUAAUAGAAACAAAAAUUUUGAGGCUUCUUCUGUCAGAUUUCUUCAGACUGUUACCAGCCUUUUCCCUAUGCUCCUGAAAGGUUCAGAAAAGCAAUUUCAGAAUUUGUUAGAAGAAAGUAAUACAGUUGAUGAUAAGUUGAUUGAAGUGUUAGCAAUAGCAGGUCCUCAUAUAUCUGUUAAACUCAGUGAAAUUUACCCUUUUUUGGAGAGAUUAUGUUUGGAAGGAACUCGCAUGCAGUCCAAGUUUGCAGUUUCAGCAAUUGCUGCAUUAACAGACUCUUCUAAGCAAUUAGUUUUUUCAAAUCUAUGCAAGGGACUUGUGGAGUCUCUACAUAUUGGACGUAACGUUCCAACAGUGUUGCAAUCCUUGGGAUGUCUUGCGCAAUAUUCUGUUUCGGCAUUUGAAACUCAAAAUGGAGAGAUCACACAGCUUAUACAUGAGAAAAUUUUCCAAAUGGACUUGUCAGAUGGUCAAAGUUCAUUUGAUGAUACUUAUGGAUGCACCAAUUCUUGCAAGCUGAAGAUAUAUGGGCUGAAAACACUUGUCAAGAGUUUUUUGCCACAUCAAGGAACUAAAGUCCAAAGGAAAAUUAAUGAAUUAUUGGAUCUAUUGUCCUUAAUGCUGCAAAAGGGGGAUACUUGUGAUGGUGUAAUUUCAGAAAAUAGUUUCAGUGAAAGUGAAAAAGCUUGUAUUAGAUUAGCAGCUGCAAAGUCUGUUCUCCAGCUUUCACGAAGAUGGGACUUACAUUUUUCUCCAGAGAUUUUUCGUUUUACAAUAUCAAUGGCGAAGGAUGAAUCCUCUUCUGUUAGAAGAUCAUUUCUUGAUAAAACGUACAAACUAUUGAAGGAGCAUGCUAUUCCAAGUAGAUAUGCAUGUGCUUAUGCACUGGCCACCUCAGAUUCUCUCAAAGAUCUAAAAGAGGAUUCAUUUAAAUAUAUGGCAGAGUUUGUCAGGGAAUAUGGUAGAGAAGCUAGAAUCCGUCAAACUUCUGAAGUCCAACAAGGAUUGAUCAUUGAUUUUCCCGCAUGCAUUGUGAUAUUCUUGAUUCAUCUUCUUGCUCAUGACAGAGACUACCCCAGUGAAGACUGUCAAGAUGAAAUAACAUAUGCUAAGUUUUGCAGUCCACUUUUUUUUGUAUUGCAGGCAUUACUUAAUGCUAGUAAUGUCAAUGGUGACAUGGAAGUGGUUAAGGAGGCUGUCUUGUAUUUGCUUUGUAUUUUCCGUGCAAUUAAGAAAGCUGAGGAUGCUGUUGACGCUGACAAAACUCCUAAGCUGCACAUGCUGUCAGACAUUGGAUUCUCUUUUGUUGCUGCAGUAAAUCGUAGCAGCAUUUCCUCAUCACAUGCCCCUGGGCAAAUUUUGCUACCAUCGUCACUGUAUAGAAUAGGUCCUGCUAACAAAAAUGAUGAGGCCAAUUCAAGGUGUCUUAUUAUUAAAUCCUGUUUGGACGAAUUUUUUGUUAGAAGAGUUAUUCACAUAUUUAAAUCUCAAAUCUCUAUGCCUGACAGCAUUCUUCCUAAACAUGGUCGAACAUAUCAAGAGGACAGGACACAAUCAGAUAUUCUCAAGGAAAACUUGUUGAACUUCCCAUCUUGCAAAGUAGUUGAUUUGACCAUUGCUGGAACAACAGAAAACCAAAAAGCUGCCAAGCAAGAUCUUAGCAUCAGAAAUAGGCGAAAACUGUCUGCCUCUGGUGCUCCUGAGUCAGUUGGAUUGCAUGGGUGUUCUAUUCUCCAUGAUGGUGCAUCUAAAAAGUCCAAGCCAUGUCUUGAGAAAGAACAACUUUCAUCUUCUUGUGGUUCUGUGCCUAUUAAACCUUGUCUAACCGAAUUGCAUGGUCCAUCCCAAAAUAUGGAAGCAAAUUCUGUUUCCUUGAAAGAAAGUGUUGGUGUAAAUAGGAGAACUUUAGCUGAAAAUUCCAAAUACUCCAAUGCUAAGUACAAGGACUCUUGCAGUUCGAAAGACACUAUUAAUAAGGGUGAAGCAUUAAUUGGACAGCGAAUCAGAUUGUCGUCUCCAGUUGAUAGAUGUUUUUAUUCAGGCACAGUGGAUGGUUAUAGUUCUCUAAACAAUACUCACAAGAUCAUAUGUGAUAGCGGCGAUGUUGACGUAGUAUGCUUAGAUAGUGAGAGCUGGGAGAUGAUAAGUGAUGGUUCUCUAGUGGAAAGGGUUGUAUCAGCUGAGGACUCUGACACCUUUGUUAUGCAGCAAUGUGAUAUGGGGAAGCACUCAUCUUUCAGUGAUCCAGAGAUACCUCUUGAUACGUUUGGUGAAGUUGCAGCCAAACGGCAAAAGAUAUUAGCAGGACUUGGGGCUGGGCGUAUACAUAUUUGAAACAAAGACGGGUGAAGUUCUGUCAACCCAUCUGAUUGGUUCUAUCUCAUUGCAUUUGUUGUAUUCCUGAUGGGUGUAGAGAAGAAAAAGAAAAGGCAGAAAGCUUCUACAGAAACCUUCAUGUCAGAAGUUGUUGAUGUGAAUAAGGAUGCUGUCCUUAGAAGAAGUCGGAGACAAAAAGUUAAAACAUGAUUAUCUUUUUCUUCUGGUUCCCCUAUGGCCUUUGGUGUUAUGAAACAGCAAACUCAAGAGUUCAGGGGUAGUCAAGUAGCAAAAUGGAGUAGGAUUUGUAUAGAAGACUGCUCGUCCUUAAUACUUCCUCUCUGACAGAGAGCUGUGACAAGUCAAGCCACAAUUUCUAGCCUUCUGUAAGUUAUCACUUCUAAAGUCACUGUUGUAUAUGUUGUUGAGAAGAUAGGGCCAUAUGAGUAAUUCCACAAAUUUCACCUUUCUCCUGAAGUUUACUAAUUUCUUUGGCCGUCUUUUAAGGUGCUUCAUUUGUUUUUAACAAGGCAUCUAUGGAAAGAGGGACUGGCCUUUGUAAAUAUUUCAUCUAUUAACAGUUUUAUGUCAUGGAUGUUGGUGUACUA